AAAGAAAGUGAUCAUAACCAAGACAUUAUUUCACAAAUCUGUCGGGAUACUUGAGGCCUGGGCGUUCGGGUCUUUGAGGCUGAUUCGGGCCGGUUCUUUUCGGGUCUGGAUCCUUCGGAUCCUAAACAUUUGGACUCAAUAGAUACUUAGAAAUUUUCGGCUCGGAUUCGGGUCGGUUCAGAUCUAUAAUUAAAAUAUCCAUAAAAUACCCGUAAUUUUUCGGAUCUAUAUCGUGUUCGGGUCGGGUUCAUGUAUUUAUGAUCUGAAAAGGAUAUGACAUACCCAAAUCCAUCAAAUUUAGUCGAUAUUUGUCAUAUAUAUCUAAAAUUUUACAAAAUAACUUAAAUGAAACUAUUAAUAAUUAAAAUAAAAUAUUUUUAAACUCUAAUUUUACAUUUUAAAACUUCAUCUAAUCUAUUAAAAGUAAAGUACAAAUUAGAAUUAACCCUUGAUUCAUCUAACUAUUUACAACUGAUGCCACU
rnacentral:lncRNA from 1 species